CCCUGGACAGUGCCCCCAAUCCUCUUUGUUUGUGAGUUUCAAAAUUUCAUUAACUCGAUGAUGGACAAAUUGCUUCCAUUCCCCUCUAUUCCUUAUCCAGUAAAGGGCAGUAAUGCUAUCAAGCCAGAAACAGGUAAAAUCUAUCUUAACUUGGGUUCCAAGUGCCCCUUUAACUGAGUUCAUGAGCUGGGCAAGGAGUCUGGCUGACAUCAAUUCUAAUCUGGGUAUGCUUGUCGGUUUUAAAGGCGCUACUCUUGCUUUAGAGGUUAGUAGACGCACAUACACUCCUACACUUGUUUGGUAAACAAAAUAGAUCACGGCACAAUAUGACUUGCAUCACCAAAUCCAUGCAAGGUACACUCUAAGACCUCCUCCUCUGGGUUAUCAUAUAUGCAACGAGGAGUAAUUAUUUCAUUUACUUCUAUUAAAUCCUUAUACCAGACUUCCCAUUUCCUAAGUAUUUCUCCAGUGAACACCUCAUCCCAAUCAAUUUUUGCCUUGCAUACUUCUUGAAACAAGAUCUUGGCAUAAACAAUUAUAGGGCUCACUAUUCCGAUAGGAUCAAAAAGACUAGCUAAAACACUUAACAGAUUUCUUUUCGUAGGUGAUAGAGUUCUUGCUUUUUCACCUGUCUUUGCAACCUCAAACUUUAACUCAUCCUUAUUGUUAUCCCAUACUUGACCUAAACCCUUAUGGCAUUUUGAUUCAGUUCCCUUCAUUCCUAGAGAUAAUUUUGCAUAUGAUUCAUUCUCAUCUAUUCUAUCGCUCUUCCUGUCCAUGGUCUUCUCUUCUAAAUCAAUCUUAUCUUUCAACAUUCUACUAUUUGUUAACCACUUUCGCAUGUUGAAACCUCCCUGUGCCAUCCUACGCUUUGUCUUACUAUACAACUCUAAUGCCUUUCCUGUACUACCCUCACCACUGACUAGAUCAUCCACAUAAAACCCAUCAAGCAUUUUUUGUACAAACUCUGGAUCUUCUUCAACAUAUGUAGAGACAUGGUGUCUCAAUGUAGC